AUAAUAAAUAAUAGUAGCCUGUGUUCUGAAAAAAUAAACAUUAAAAAAAAUUGAAACAAAAAUUUUCUCCGCAACCAACCUUCCGCGUCGACAAGCAAACGUGCACUGAGAAUUGGGUAACGCAGCGAGUAACUCUGCCACCAACGAGGCCUCCUUAUAUAGUUGCUUUAUGGUCAUGGGCAGUGCAACGGAUUAUGCGCGAGAACGGUGAGUGCCAAAGAGCGAUGAGUCGACGAGUCAAAGCAACCUAUCGAAUUGCAAUAACAUUGGUCUAUACAAAAACAAUGCAACUCUCCACUGUUAGAUGUAUUUACAUAUGUUUGUUCGGGAGCCACAGAAAAAUUAUAUGUAAGGUAAUAAAUCAAUUAAAAACACUGAGUAUAUACAAGUUUUAUCAGGUAUGAAGAUGUGUGUUACUCAUAUACUUAAGACCAAAUUUAAAUAUAACAAAUUAAGUAACUUCAUUUUUUGAUUAGGCGAAAAAUGCUAGAACGAUGCAGAAACACGACCGGAU
rnacentral:lncRNA from 1 species